CUCCUUUGACGUUAGCGGCGGACGGGUGAGUAACACGUGGGUAACCUACCUAUAAGACUGGGAUAACUUCGGGAAACCGGGGCUAAUACCGGAUAAUAUUUCGAACCGCAUGGUUCGAUAGUGAAAGAUGGUUUUGCUAUCACUUAUAGAUGGACCCGCGCCGUAUUAGCUAGUUGGUAAGGUAACGGCUUACCAAGGCGACGAUACGUAGCCGACCUGAGAGGGUGAUCGGCCACACUGGAACUGAGACACGGUCCAGACUCCUACGGGAGGCAGCAGUU
rnacentral:rRNA from 1 species